UUAGUCUGACCCUAGCCUAAGAUCAAGUGUAGUAUCUGUUCUUAUCAGUUUAAUAUCUGAUAUACUCCCUAUCUGAGGGCCAUUUUUUAAAUGUAUAUUUAAAGAGAUGGAAGAAGAGCUUGCUAUGUCCACUCCACGCAUUGACCUGGUAUUGCAGACAGUACCUCCAGGACCAGUGCACAAAAA
rnacentral:snRNA from 1 species